AGUUGCACCGAAAGUGCUUUUUUUAAAUGGCCUUUGUGAUAAUUCAACUAAAUUAGAUCGAGGCAGAUAUGCAGAAGGAUUUCAGAUACUUGAGUUUUCAGAUAAAUGUCUGCUGUCUUCAUACACUGUUGAUAUUGUUUUUUGGAGCUAACAAAAUCAUGCUGUGAUCUUAGGAUGUUCUGCAAAAAGGAACGUUAUAGGUUCUUGAAGGUAUAGGGAUAAUCAUUAGGUCUGAAAAAAAAAUAAGGAUAAUUAUUUCGUCUGGAAGAAAUUACGACAGAUGACAAAACUGUUGCUCGUGGUAUAUAUAAUGUGCGUUAUAAAACUAUCUAAAGGCGCACCAGUUUCAACUGACAAGCCCCGGUUCCAGAAAGAUAUGGAGACUUGUGACUGGGGUUGUGAUUCAAAUAUUGAUGAAAAACUUAAAAUGUGUGAAGCAUUUUGUUACCUUGAUACUCAGCGUAAUCAAUUUAAACAUGCUAUGGAAACUCAGUGUCAAGGUACAUGUGCUACAAAGUAUAUAAAUUGCUUUGAAGGAUGCCCAAAACCUUCCACCAAGAAGACUUCUCUUAUCUGAGCGGUGUUUUGCUAAUCACUCGUGAAUAACUCUAUUCCUUUGACAAAAAAUAUCAAUACGUUAUACAAUCAUAUUUCAAACGACCGCAACGAAUGAUUUACACGUAACAUGAGUUUUGUUGUAGUUAUUUGUAAAGGUUACAUCAAUAAUCGUAUAAGGCAAUCAGAACAAUAAUUAAACGUUUACCAGCAGCCAUUCCCAAAUGACUUUUCGACAUGAUGUGUAAACAUUCUGAGGAUAAAAGCAAUUUUUGUCCGCCGCCUAGUGACUCAAAAGGCGUGGACACAAAGAUUAACAUUAAUUCUACGGUGUUGAAUAGUUCUUUGGUAAUUCUUUUGGGACCAUACCGUAAACGCAUCAUGAGGAAAUAGUUAAACUUUGCAAGUUUUCGGUUCUACAAAACGUGUGGAUAGCACGCUUUUUCACGAAUUUGAAAAGAAAAAAUAUUAGAAUUAUACAAGCAAAUAGUAUGUGUUCAGUUGUUAUUCAAAAGUACAUGUUAGAUAUGACACAUGGACAUCGAAUACAAAUAUUCUCUCAAAUGGUGGGUGUCUUUUUACUAAAUGUUGUCAUAGAAACAGUGAUUUGACGAACUGUCACGAUCGUACCCUCAAACAAGUUCAAUAGCGUUUUACACAAAUGUAUCAAGAAAACUCUCGUAGCCUUUACUUGGGGAACAUUCAUAAGGAAAGGGAUACAAUGGUUACAUAUUAUUCAUGGACAUGUGAUCAUGUAUGUGACGCCUUCGGUGUACCAUUGGAUUAAAGAAUUUUGUUACAUUUGCUGAUGGAUUAUAGAAAAGUAAUUGGUAUCACAAUUGGUAUAUAAUGCAAACCACUCGUUACAGGUUUCUUUUAAUAUUAUUAUGUACAAGUUUCUAUAAUUUGGUUGUCCACUGAAACACGGUUUGUCAUGAUAAAUUCUUAUAUACCUAAAUGAUAUAUUAUUAAGUAUGUACUACGUUCAUGUAUCAAACAUAGUAAAAGCAUUUAUAAAAAAAGAGAAACAACUUAAAAACAGCUAAUAAAUCCAAGUUUGACUACUUUAAUGGACAAAAGAAACAAAAGAAAAUAUAUAUUAAAAGACUCUUCUACUUC